rfam:Schistosoma rodhaini strain Burundi genome assembly, scaffold: SROB_scaffold0004953
AUACAGCUGACGAGUCCCAAAUAGGGCGAAGCGCGCGUCCAGGAU